UACAGGGUGAUAGCCCCGUAACCGACGCUUCAUCGAGCGUGAAAUCGAGUAGGGCGGGACACGUGAUAUCCUGUCUGAAUAUGGGGGGACCAUCCUCCAAGGCUAAAUACUCCUGACUGACCGAUAGUGAACCAGUACCGUGAGGGAAAGGCGAAAAGAACCCCUGUGAGGGGAGUGAAAUAGAACCUGAAACCGUGUACGUACAAGCAGUAGGAGCACCUUCGUGGUGUGACUGCGUACCUUUUGUAUAAUGGGUCAGCGACUUAUAUUCAGUGGCAAGGUUAACCGUAUAGGGGAGCCGUAGCGAAAGCGAGUCUUAACUGGGCGCUCAGUCUCUGGAUAUAGACCCGAAACCGGGUGAUCUAGCCAUGGGCAGGUUGAAGGUUGAGUAACAUCAACUGGAGGACCGAACCGACUAAUGUUGAAAAAUUAGCGGAUGACUUGUGGCUAGGGGUGAAAGGCCAAUCAAACUCGGAGAUAGCUGGUUCUCCCCGAAAGCUAUUUAGGUAGCGCCUCGGACGAAUACUACUGGGGGUAGAGCACUGUUAAGGCUAGGGGGUCAUCCCGACUUACCAACCCUUUGCAAACUCCGAAUACCAGUAAGUACUAUCCGGGAGACACACGGCGGGUGCUAACGUCCGUCGUGGAGAGGGAAACAACCCAGACCGCCAGCUAAGGUCCCAAAGUAUUGCUAAGUGGGAAACGAUGUGGGAAGGCUCAGACAGCUAGGAUGUUGGCUUAGAAGCAGCCAUCAUUUAAAGAAAGCGUAAUAGCUCACUAGUCGAGUCGGCCUGCGCGGAAGAUGUAACGGGGCUAAGCAAUACACCGAAGCUGCGGCAAUGUCUUUUAGACAUUGGGUAGGGGAGCGUUCUGUAAGCCGUUGAAGGUGAAUCGUAAGGUUUGCUGGAGGUAUCAGAAGUGCGAAUGCUGACAUGAGUAACGACAAAGGGGGUGAAAAACCUCCUCGCCGGAAGACCAAGGGUUCCUGUCCAACGUUAAUCGGGGCAGGGUGAGUCGACCCCUAAGGUGAGGCCGAAAGGCGUAAUCGAUGGGAAACGGGUUAAUAUUCCCGUACUUCUGACUAUUGCGAUGGGGGGACGGAGAAGGCUAGGUGGGCCAGGCGACGGUUGUCCUGGUUCAAGUGCGUAGGCUUGAGAGUUAGGUAAAUCCGGCUCUCUCUAAGGCUGAGACACGACGUCGAGCUGCUACGGCAGUGAAGUCAUUGAUGCCAUGCUUCCAGGAAAAGCCUCUAAGCUUCAGAUAGUCAGGAAUCGUACCCCAAACCGACACAGGUGGUCGGGUAGAGAAUACCAAGGCGCUUGAGAGAACUCGGGUGAAGGAACUAGGCAAAAUGGUACCGUAACUUCGGGAGAAGGUACGCUCUUGAUGGUGAAGUCCCUCGCGGAUGGAGCUGACGAGAGUCGCAGAUACCAGGUGGCUGCAACUGUUUAUUAAAAACACAGCACUGUGCAAAAUCGCAAGAUGACGUAUACGGUGUGACGCCUGCCCGGUGCCGGAAGGUUAAUUGAUGGGGUUAGCGCAAGCGAAGCUCUUGAUCGAAGCCCCGGUAAACGGCGGCCGUAACUAUAACGGUCCUAAGGUAGCGAAAUUCCUUGUCGGGUAAGUUCCGACCUGCACGAAUGGCGUAAUGAUGGCCACGCUGUCUCCACCCGAGACUCAGUGAAAUUGAAAUCGCUGUGAAGAUGCAGUGUACCCGCGGCUAGACGGAAAGACCCCGUGAACCUUUACUACAGCUUGGCACUGAACAUUGAACCUACAUGUGUAGGAUAGGUGGGAGGCUAUGAAGACGUGACGCCAGUUGCGUUGGAGCCGUCCUUGAAAUACCACCCUUGUAUGUUUGAUGUUCUAACUUAGACCCAUUAUCUGGGUUGAGGACAGUGCCUGGUGGGUAGUUUGACUGGGGCGGUCUCCUCCCAAAGAGUAACGGAGGAGCACGAAGGUGGGCUAAUCACGGUUGGACAUCGUGAGGUUAGUGCAAUGGCAUAAGCCCGCUUAACUGCGAGAAUGACGGUUCGAGCAGGUGCGAAAGCAGGUCAUAGUGAUCCGGUGGUUCUGUAUGGAAGGGCCAUCGCUCAACGGAUAAAAGGUACUCCGGGGAUAACAGGCUGAUACCGCCCAAGAGUUCAUAUCGACGGCGGUGUUUGGCACCUCGAUGUCGGCUCAUCACAUCCUGGGGCUGAAGUCGGUCCCAAGGGUAUGGCUGUUCGCCAUUUAAAGUGGUACGCGAGCUGGGUUUAGAACGUCGUGAGACAGUUCGGUCCCUAUCUGCCGUGGGCGUUGGAAGAUUGAAGGGGGCUGCUCCUAGUACGAGAGGACCGGAGUGGACGAACCUCUGGUGUUCGGGUUGUGUCGCCAGACGCAUUGCCCGGUAGCUAAGUUCGGAA
rnacentral:rRNA from 1 species